CCCCCCCCCCCCCCCCCCCCCCCCCCCCCCCCCCCCCCCCCCCCCCCCCCCCCCCCCCCCCCCCCCCCCCCCCCGGCUGGCGGCCGUGGCGGCCACCGGCCGGCCCGUGGAGGACCCGCAGGGCUUCCUCUGGGAGAAGGCGGCCGAGGGCGAGUUUUUCCGGGUGCACUUCAGCCGCUCCAACCGGCUGCACGUGGACCUGUGGCCGUUCUACGCGCGCCGCCGCGGGCUGAUGACCAAGGACACGUGGCUGGGCCACCGGCAGGACGUGGAGUUCCCCGAGAGGUUCCUGCUGCCCCUGGGCUCGGUGCCCUUCGCGGGGCUCGUGGCCAAAGCCCCCAACGAGCCCCGCGCCUUCCUGGAGUUCAAGUUCGGCCCGGGGGUCGUCGAGAGCCCCGAGUAUCCCAACCCCGCGGUCAGGAGGCUGGCGCAGGACGUGGGCAAUGGGACCGCUCGGUGACGCCUGUGAUUGUCCCCAGCGCCACCCUUGGGGUCCCUGUGCCACCUUUGGGGUCCCUGUGCCACCUUUGGGGUCCUGUGUCACCCCCCCCUGGGGUCCCUCUGAGGGUCCCCAGAGCCCCCCCAAGUGUCCCAACCCCCGGGUCAGGAGGCUGGCGCAGGAUGGGGGCAAUAAAACCGCUCGGUGACGCCUGUGAUUGUCCCCAGUGCCACCUUUGGGGUCCCUGGUGCCACCUUUGGAGUCCCCAGUGUCACCCUUGGGGUCCCUGUGUCAUCUUUGGGGUCCCUCUGCCACUUUACCUGAUCCUGGUGUCACUUCUUGGGGUCCCUCUGCCACUCUGGGUGUCCCUAGUGCCACCUUUGGGCUCCUUCUGUCACUUUUUGGGUCCCUGUGCCACCUUGAGGGUCCCCAGGGGUUCCCCAGUGCCACCUUUGGGGUCCCUGCUGUCAUCUUUGGGGUGCCUGGUGUCACCUUUAGGGUCCCUGGUGCCACUCUGGAUGUCCCCAAUGUCAACUUUUGGGUCCUUCUGUCACCUUUAGGGUCCCUGCUGCCAUCUUUGGGCUCCCCAAUGUCACCUUUGGGGUCCCUGGUGUCACCUUUGGGACUCCUGGUGCCACCCUGAGUGUCCCCAGUGUCGCCCUUGGGGUCCCUCUGCUGCUUUACCUGCCCUGGUGUCAUUUCUUGGGUUCCCUGGUGCCACCCUGGAUUGUCCUCAGUGCCACCUUUGAGGUCCCUAGUGCCACCUUUGGGGUCCCUGGUGCCAUCUUUGGGGUCCCCAGUGUCACCUUUGGGGUCCCUGUGUCACCUUUGGGGUCCCUGGUGCCAACUUUGGGUCCCUGGAGCCACCCUGGGUGUCCCCAGUGUCACCUUUGGGAUCUCCAGGGGGUCCCCAGUGUCACCUUUGGGACCCCUGGUGCCACCCUGAGUGUCCUUAGUGUCACUCUUCCUGUCCCCAGUGUCACCCUUGGGGUCCCUCUGCCAUUUUACCUGAUCCUGGUGUCACUNNNNNNNNNNNNNNNNNNNNNNNNNNNNNNNNNNNNNNNNNNNNNNNNNNNNNNNNNNNNNNNNNNNNNNNNNNNNNNNNNNNNNNNNAGUGCCACCUUUGGGGCCCCUGGUGCCACCCUGGUGAUCCCAGUGUCACUCUGCCUGUCCCCAGUGACACCCUGGAGGUCCCCAGUGCCACCUUUGGGGUCCCUGGUGCCACCUUUGGGGUCCCUGGUGUCAUCUUUAGGGUCCCUGUGCCACUUUGAGGGUCCCUAGGGGUUCCCCAGUGCCACCCUUGGAGUCCCCAAUGUCACCUUUGGGGUCCCUGGUGCCACCUCUGGGGUCCCUCUGCCACCCCAAGUGUCCCCAGUGUCACCUCUGGGGUCCUUCUGUCACCCUUGGGGUCCCUCGUGCCACCUUUGGUGUCCCCAGUGUCACUUUUGGGGACCCUGGUGCCACCCUUCCCCCGAUUUCCCCCUCAAUUUUCCAGAUUUUCUCCAUUUUUCCUCAAUUUUCCCAAAUUUCCCCCAUUUUUUCCAAUUUUCACCCAUUUAUUCCCCAUUUGCCUCAUUUUUCCUGUUUUUUCCCUCAAUUUUCCCUGAAUUUUCCCCCCAUUUUUCCAAUUUCUCCCCAUU
rnacentral:lncRNA from 12 species